rnacentral:lncRNA from 1 species
GGCCCCCUUUCCUACCAGUUUCUGACUGUAUGAAUGUAAUCUAUGUCUGCCAGCCACCCAGACUCAGGCAAAUGACAUUACACUGUACCAUUGCAAAGGGAUCUGUGGCAUAAAUAAAUGUAUCGGG